GCCUAUAGCCAUGCCACCCUGAACAAGCCUGAUCCUGUCUAACCUUGGAAGCUAAGCAUGGUCGGGCCUGGUUAGUACCUAGAUGGGAGACCACGUAGGAAGACCAGUGCUGUAGGCG
rnacentral:rRNA from 1 species